rnacentral:rRNA from 1 species
UACGAAGGGGACUAGCGUUGUUCGGAAUUACUGGGCGUAAAGCGCACGUAGGCGGAUUUGUUAGUCAGGGGUGAAAUCCCGGGGCUCAACCUCGGAACUGCCUUUGAUACUGCAAGUCUCGAGUCCGAUAGAGGUGGGUGGAAUUCCUAGUGUAGAGGUGAAAUUCGUAGAUAUUGGGAAGAACACCGGUGGCGAAGGCGGCGACCUGGUCCGAUACUGACGCUGAGGUGCGAAAGCGUGGGGAGCAAACAGG